UGGUUCAAAUUCGCCUGGAGGAAGCGAU
rnacentral:sRNA from 1 species